UGCGAACUCCUACGGGAGGCAGCAGUGAGGAAUAUUGGUCAAUGGUCGGAAGACUGAACCAGCCAUGCCGCGUGCAGGAAGAAUGCCUUAUGGGUUGUAAACUGCUUUUAUAUGGGAAGAAUAAGGUGUACGUGUACAUUGAUGACGGUACCAUAUGAAUAAGCAUCGGCUAACUCCGUGCCAGCAGCCGCGGUAAUACGGAGGAUGCGAGCGUUAUUCGGAAUCAUUGGGUUUAAAGGGUCUGUAGGCGGGCUAUUAAGUCAGGGGUGAAAGGUUUCAGCUUAACUGAGAAAUUGCCUUUGAUACUGGUAGUCUUGAAUAUCUGUGAAGUUCUUGGAAUGUGUAGUGUAGCGGUGAAAUGCUUAGAUAUUACACAGAACACCGAUUGCGGAGGCAGGGGACUAACAGACGAUUGACGCUGAGAGACGAAAGCGUGGGGAGCGAACAGGAUUAGAUACCCUUGUAGUCCU
rnacentral:rRNA from 1 species